rnacentral:misc_RNA from 1 species
CAGAGUUCAUGCCCUUCGGGGUAGACCUCCCACCCUUUGUAUACAUUGCCUUUGUUGCUUUGGCGGGCCGCCGCGCCUGCGUCCACCGGCCUCGGCUGGUGCGCGCCCGCCAGAGCCCCUUUAAACCCUGUCUUACAGUGUCGUCCGAGUACUAUAUAAUAGUUA